GUGCCAGCAGCCGCGGUAAUACGGAGGGUGCGAGCGUUAAUCGGAAUUACUGGGCGUAAAGGGCGCGUAGGCGGUUUGGUAAGUGAGUUGUGAAAGCCCCGGGCUCAACCUGGGAAUGGCAAUUCGAACUGCCAGGCUAGAAUGCAGCAGAGGGCAGUGGAAUUCCAGGUGUAGCGGCGAAAUGCGUAGAUAUCUGGAGGAACACCAGUGGCGAAGGCGACUGCCUGGGCUGACAUUGACGCUGAGGUGCGGAAGCGUGGGGAGCGAACAGGAUUAGAUACCCCCGUAGUCC
rnacentral:rRNA from 1 species